AGUGAACGCUGGCGGUAGGCCUAACACAUGCAAGUCGAACGGCAGCACAGUAAGAGCUUGCUCUUACGGGUGGCGAGUGGCGGACGGGUGAGGAAUACAUCGGAAUCUACUUUUUCGUGGGGGAUAACGUAGGGAAACUUACGCUAAUACCGCAUACGACCUACGGUUGAAAGCAGGGGAUCUUCGGACCUUUCGCGAUUGAAUGAGCCGAUGUCGGAUUAGCUAGUUGGCGGGGUAAAGGCCCACCAAGGCGACGAUCCGUAGCUGGUCUGAGAGGAUGAUCAGCCACACUGGAACUGAGACACGGUCCAGACUCCUACGGGAGGCAGCAGUGGGGAAUAUUGGACAAUGGGCGCAAGCCUGAUCCAGCAAUACCGCGUGGGUGAAGAAGGCCUUCGGGUUGUAAAGCCCUUUUGUUGGGAAAGAAAAGCAGCAGGUUAAUACCCCGCUGUUCUGACGGUACCCAAAGAAUAAGCACCGGCUAACUUCGUG
rnacentral:rRNA from 1 species